rnacentral:rRNA from 1 species
CAGUAGCCACGGGAAUACAGAGGGUGCAAGCGUUAAUCGGAAUUACUGGGCGUAAAGCGCGCGUAGGUGGUUUGUUAAGUUGGAUGUGAAAUCCCCGGGCUCAACCUGGGAACUGCAUCCAAAACUGGCAAGCUAGAGUAUGGUAGAGGGUGGUGGAAUUUCCUGUGUAGCGGUGAAAUGCGUAGAUAUAGGAAGGAACACCAGUGGCGAAGGCGACCACCUGGACUGAUACUGACACUGAGGUGCGAAAGCGUGGGGAGCAAACAGGAUUAGAUACCCGUGUAGUCCCUGUCUCUUAUAU